UGCGAAGCAUUUUUGAUACGAUAGUAAGACAGGUUGAAUCACCAUCUACAAGCAAAACUGUAACACCUGCACAUGCAGUAUUUAUGCUGGAUUCAACUGAGAUAGCCAUCUCGCUAUUCAUGUGGAUGGGCAAGAAUGAUGUUAUCAAGUUCAAGCACACAAAGAGAGAGAGAGAGAGAGAGAGGGGGGGGGGGAGGGGAGAAGAGAAGCUUAUUCUGUAGACAUAAUAUAUGCUCCUUUACUACCUUGAGAUCCUUAUAUAAUACAAAUUUAGCUAUUUAGGUAUACUAUUCUCACUUACCAAAAGAACUGCUCUAACGCACCAUUUUUUUGUCUACACUUCUGGUUACGUUAGCAAUGACGUAAAACUAUUACCUGCCUAUAUUCUAUAAAUGAGUGGUAAUUACAGCCAACAACUAAAAGUUGAUUCUCAAAUGCAGAGAAAAAAAUGCCUGAAAAACACGCUAAAAAUGUUAAAAUAGAAUGCAGUGAGUGGACAGCUCAACAGCAUUUUUUGACAUAUUUUUUAAACUGAUUAAACUUGCCAUGUACAAUGGAUAAUCGGUUUCCAUCUUAAGCAGAUCACAAAAUCUCUCAUGUAAAACACCAUUAAACAAGUUGCCUUAUAAACACUUUUCCUUUUCUCAAUAAAAAAUACUUUGACUCGUUUGACUGCAAGGAAGUUGAGGUCAUUAAUGUGCUAAAAAUGUUUUCAUAAUAUCACCUCUCCUAAACUUAUUAGGACAUUUAGAUCUCGUAAAUGAAUUAUAGUAUAAGAAAUAAUAGCAAUACUAACAACAUGAUGAAAAUAGAGAAAAAUAUCAAAUAAAACCUUUUUACCUGUUGGCAAGCAGUGUUGAAGAGAUCACAAAUCCAAAGUUGAUGCACAAUAUCUUGGUACCUGAUUUCUCAUUUAUCAGAGCAUAAAGUCUAACCAUAACGGUCAGAUUUGUACAACAAGCGUAAUAAAUAGGGUUCUAUCCUAUACCGUUGACAAAUAGGCAUAAAGGUCUUAGUACGCUCAAAUACAUGCCAGUUAGCAAUUAAUGUAAGGCAGAACAGGUCAUGCAUACCAGGAAAAGUAUCCUCUGCUUGUGCAACUCAAACCCUCACAAUACUAAAGAACUCCUACCUUGACUACAUUCCAACGAGAUUAUGUCCAGCCAUUGCUAACAUGCAAAUCAAUGUUAUAGGCACCAAUAGAAGAAAAUUUGGCCUAAUGAUACCAUGCUAGCAAAAUAUUCCAGAAUGUCUAUCUACAUCUACGCCCAAGUUUAAGUGCCCACAGAAUACUCUGCUGCCAAGCAGUCUAUACUGAUGUAAAUGAGCCAUUGGCAGGUUAAGAAAUGCAUAACAAAUAUAUAAAUUUUAAUUUAUCAAACUGCUUUCUAUCCCCAUUGUGAUGAGUAGAGAGCAAGGAAACUACUGAGCACUGCAUAAA
rnacentral:lncRNA from 1 species